GUAUGAGUCACUGAGUGUGUCAGUGAGUGUGUAUGGGUCACUGUGUAUGUCAGUGUGUUUGUAUGACAAUGACCCAUACAAACACACUGACACACACAGUGACCCA